rnacentral:rRNA from 1 species
GUGGGGAAUAUUGGACAAUGGGGGGAACCCUGAUCCAGCCAUGCCGCGUGUGUGAAGAAGGCCUUUUGGUUGUAAAGCACUUUAAGCGAGGAGGAGGCUACCGAGAUUAAUACUCUUGGAUAGUGGACGUUACUCGCAGAAUAAGCACCGGCUAACUCUGUGCCAGCAGCCGCGGUAAUACAGAGGGUGCAAGCGUUAAUCGGAUUUACUGGGCGUAAAGCGCGCGCAGGUGGCCAAUUAAGUCAAAUGUGAAAUCCCCGAGCUUAACUUGGGAAUUGCAUUCGAUACUGGUUGGCUAGAGUAUGGGAGAGGAUGGUAGAAUUCCAGGUGUAGCGGUGAAAUGCGUAGAGAUCUGGAGGAAUACCGAUGGCGAAGGCAGCCAUCUGGCCUAAUACUGACACUGAGGUGCGAAAGCAUGGGGAGCAAACAGGAUUAGAUACCCGAGUAGUCC